rnacentral:rRNA from 1 species
GACGAACGCUGGCGGCGUGCCUAAUACAUGCAAGUUGAGCGCUGAAGGUUGGUACUUGUACCAACUGGAUGAGCAGCGAACGGGUGAGUAACGCGUGGGGAAUCUGCCUUUGAGCGGGGGACAACAUUUGGAAACGAAUGCUAAUACCGCAUAAAAACUUUAAACACAAGUUUUAAGUUUGAAAGAUGCAAUUGCAUCACUCAAAGAUGAUCCCGCGUUGUAUUAGCUAGUUGGUGAGGUAAAGGCUCACCAAGGCGAUGAUACAUAGCCGACCUGAGAGGGUGGUCGGCCACAUUUGGACUGAGACACGGCCCAAACUCCUACGGGAGGCAGCAGUAGGGAAUCUUCGGCAAUGGACGAAAGUCUGACCGAGCAACGCCGCGUGAGUGAAGAAGGUUUUCGGAUCGUAAAACUCUGUUGGUAGAGAAGAACGUUGGUGAGAGUGGAAAGCUCAUCAAGUGACGGUAACUACCCAGAAAGGGACGGCUAACUACGUG